GAGGGGGGUAAAUUAAUAAAUUAAUUUUAAUAAAAAAAUUUUUAAAUAAAAUAUUUAAUGGGGGUUAAAGUAUUUUUUAAGAAAAAAUUUUAAAUUUUAUAGGGAAGUAGUAUUGUAAAAGAAUUUUGAAAUAUAAUAAAUAAUAAAUUAUUUAUAAGUAAUUUUAAUUUAAUGUAUCUUGUGUAUCAGAGUUUAUUAAAAAAUAUUUUUAAAUAAAAAAUUCUCGAAUUUAAAAGAGAUAAUUAAUUAAUAAAGUUAUUGUGGCAUAAAUAUUUUAAAUAAUUAAUUGGAAAUGAAAUGUUAAUCGUUUUUAAAGAUAUCUAGUUUUUUUAGAAAAAAAUUUAAUUUUAAAUUUAAUAAAAAAAAAAUUAAUUAAUUAAUUUUUUUUUUAUUAAAUUUUAUAUUUUAAGGGAUAAGCUUUAAAUUAAAUUUAUAUAAAAUAAAUUUAAUAUUUAUUGAAAAUUAUAUAAUUUAUAUUGUUAAAAAAUUUUAAUUUAUUAUAAAAUAAUUUCAUUAAAAAUAAAAUUUAAUUUAAAUUUUAUAUUUUUAUAAAAAUAAAAUAAUUAAUAAAAUAAUAUUAAUUAUAAUGAUAAAAUUAGUAUAUAGAUAAUUAAAAUUAUAAUAUAAAAUAAUAUAAAUAAAUUAAUUAAAAGGAAUUCGGCAAAAUUUUAUAUUCACUUGUUUAUCAAAAACAUGUCUUUUUGAAAAUAAUAUAAAGUCUAAUCUGCCCACUGAUUUUAUAUUAAAGGGCUGCAGUAUUUUGACUGUACAAAGGUAGCAUAAUCAUUAGUCAUUUAAUUGAUGACUUGUAUGAAAGAUUGGAUGAAAUAUAAACUGUCUCUUAAUUAUAAAUAGAAUUUAAUUUUUUAUUUAAAAAGUUAAAAUAAAUUAAAAAGACGAGAAGACCCUAUAGAGUUUUAUAAUUUAUUUAAAUUAAGAUUAUUUAUAAAUUAUAUAAAUUAAAAUUUAUUAAAUUAUUUUGUUGGGGUGACAAAAAAAUAUAAGAAACUUUUUUUUAUUAACUACAAAUUAUAUUUGAAUAAAUGAUCCAAUUUUAUUGAUUAUAAGAAAAAAUUACCUUAGGGAUAACAGCGUAAUUUUUUUUUUUAGUUCACAUAAAAAAAAGAGUUUGCGACCUCGAUGUUGGAUUAAGAUAAAAAUUAAAUGCAGAAGUUUAAAAUUUUUGAUCUGUUCGAUCAUUAAAAUCUUACAUGAUCUGAGUUCAAACCGGUGUAAGCCAGGUUGGUUUCUAUCUUUUAAAAAAAUAAAAUAUUUUAGUACGAAAGGAUUAAAUAUUUAAAUUAAAUUUAUUUUUUUUUGAAUUUUAUUAAAAUAGUU
rnacentral:rRNA from 1 species